rnacentral:rRNA from 1 species
GACGAACGCUGGCGGCGUGCCUAAUACAUGCAAGUUGAGCGCUGAAGGUUGGUACUUGUACCAACUGGAUGAGCAGCGAACGGGUGAGUAACGCGUGGGGAAUCUGCCUUUGAGCGGGGGACAACAUUUGGAAACGAAUGCUAAUACCGCAUAAAAACUUUAAACACAAGUUUUAAGUUUGAAAGAUGCAAUUGCAUCACUCAAAGAUGAUCCCGCGUUGUAUUAGCUAGUUGGUGAGGUAAAGGCUCACCAAGGCGAUGAUACAUAGCCGACCUGAGAGGGCGAUCGGCCACAUUGGGACUGAGACACGGCCCAAACUCCUACGGGAGGCAGCAGUAGGGAAUCUUCGGCAAUGGACGAAAGUCUGACCGAGCAACGCCGCGUGAGUGAAGAAGGGUGUCGGAUCGUAAAACUCUGUUGGUAGAGAAGAACGUUGGUGAGAGUGGAAAGCUCAUCAAGUGACGGUAACUACCCAGAAAGGGACGGCUAACUACGUG